GAUCCGGAUGUUUUUCAAAUGACGUACUACUUUUAUUAAAUAAAAACAAACAAUAUAAGGAUGUAUAUAUUCAUUAUGGAUAAUCAUUAUAAGUAAUAAUCGUGAACGUGAAGUCUCGCGGCGGAAUAAAUAAAACUUUAAAAGUCUAAAAUAUCUGAGGAAAAAGCGGGACAUCUGAUUGGUGUAUACGAAAAGAAAGUGGUUGGAAAUAAGUAAGUGGAAUUCAGCAAAACGUAUUCAUGAGCAUGAGGGCGAAAAUGACGUCAUUGAUUUUCAUCUGUUUCUGGCUCGUGGUCAAAGGAGCGGCAGUGACCACAAGCCCUGUCCCUAACAAUGACAAGUGCAGUAAUGACGUAUUCAAAAAUUGCACAGACGUGUUUUUAUCUCUGUUAAACAACACUGAUGGAUCAUUUGAUGCGGACGCUCUAUUGGACUUCUAUUGUAGGUACGUAUAUUGUACACUGGGUCGGAAGUUUGGGGAAACAAUUUUUUAUCUA